UUGUUUUUGUUUGAACAGUCAAUACUUCAUUCAACUGAUUACCGGUACUAAUGAUUUUUUUGCAUUAAGUAACAAUUACUAAAAUAAAGGAUGUAUUUAUAGUGUACAGAUCAUGCUACUCAUUCAAACUACUACUUGUUUAAAAAUACUGUUUAAAGUUCGUUGUCUUCAAAUUAUGAAUAUGAAAUAUGAUUUAAUUUGAUUCUUUGCCACCAAUUUUCACAGUUGAAUUAAAUGAGUUUGAAUUGUAUUAGACUGUAAAAUAUUGUUAAUUAUUUACAGAGGAUUGAAAGAGUUCAGAAAUGAAUAUUCAGAAGUAAAUUACCUAGAAAUGAUAAAAAUCACAAAAAUUGUAAUAAUUAAUGGACUUUCAAUGGGAAUUUUAAGCAAGUUGUAUCAUUAGAAAUUGAAAUCUGUUCAACAUUUUCUAAUAUUAAUGAUGAACAAUUUGUGCCAGUAAAUUAAUCAUAUUCCAGCUGUAAAAGUCAGAUUGUCUCCCUUUAGCACUUUUUAGGUAUUUGUGAAGUUACCUUCCCAUCAUCAUAAUGUUGUUAAUUAACGUCAAAAUAAAUUAUAUGUAAUAGUUCAUGUUCAUCAGGAUAUUAUUGGUGUAUGUUUCAAACUUUUGAAAAAGAAAAAGUGACACAUAUCAAACACAGAAAAAUGACAAAAUCAUUAUUUACAAAGUAGUUUUAAGAAUCUUAUUAUUCACCAAUUUGCUGUAGAACCCCAAUAUAUAUUAAAAAAAAAGAUGAAUGUUAUAUAAAGCUUCCUUUGCCCAUAAGUUUAAAAUAUUUGAUUAUAUUUAAUGUCCUAGACACUUUUGAAAUUACAUUUUUCUCAGAAGUCAUGAACAAGUUCAGCUGUCCAAAAGUACAAAUUGUCUCAUUUUUGAAAGCUACACAAUUACUUAAUCAUACUAAAUGGACAAAAUACUAGGCUGGAGGUUAGUGUUGUGAUCAAUUGUUAUUGUUUCAUUGUUAAAAUCUGUAUCAUUUUAGCCCUUUGUUGUUUAUUUUCAUUGUGAAUAUUCAUAGUCUAUUUUGAAAAAGAAGUUGUUAAAAAUUCAUAACUAAUUAAAAUGUAUACCUUGAUUAUUUCUAAUAGAAAUACAGUUCAAUUAAAUCAACUAAGUGGGAUUUCAGCCUCUUUUAAAACAUUUUUGUGUGCUAUGUCAGAUUUUGUAUCGGUUGCUUUUUGAUAAAAUAUUUGUUCAGUAAUUGUUAUUGAACAGAUAAAAUUAUUUUUUUACUGAAAGCAAGAAACUGAAGAAGCAAAAUAAUUUUCUGUUUUGUCAUCAAGCAAACACCUGCUUUAUUCCGAAUCUGUUUAGAAAAUUACAAGAUAGUGAUAAUUAUUUCACAGUUUCAAAUGUUAUAAAUGCAAAUAUAUCCACCUCCCAGAUUGUACAAUUCGUUGAUACACUCUUUUUAUUGCACUUUUUCCAACAUUAACUGUAAAAAACGUCUUCGCUUGGUGGGGUGAACUUUUAUUUUAACCUUAAAAAUUAACAGUUUCUUCUUCAUCUAUGCUUGGUGGGGUGAUCUUUAGCUUUAUUACAUGUUAACAUAUUCAGCUACUUUUACACACCAUUUUUCUUCCAACUCUACCAAGGUACAAUCAUAUGAGCAUUUUAUGUCAUUUAAAAUUUCAUAAAUUUGAAUAUUAAAAUGCACCUGGUGGAUUUACUAGUAGAUUUUUCUUGAUCUUGAAACAUUUAAAUGCAAACUGUUCAGGUUUUGCUUUUCUUGAAAGUGGCCAAUACGCAAUUUCAUUCUUAUAACUAUUACAAGACAUAUUGUAUAAUUUAAUGUGUCAAAUUAAUGGUAAUUUUACUCUGAAGGAGAGGGCAGGUGAUGAUAACAUUGAAAUCCCACUUAGUUAUUACUCAUAGGCAAUAGAAAAAAUGGUUGAUUUUGAUUGGUUGUUAUUUUUGGCUGCUGUUAUAUAUACCUGGGCCUUUCAUUGUGCACUCAUUGUACAGUUAAUGAUCAAGAUAGAUAUCUAUAUAUUAUGCUAUUAUCUGUGUAAAUUUUACAAAGAUUACUUGUGGAAAGUAAAAUAAUGUAAAAUAAUUGUCUUCUAUUUAUUUUUGCCAGAAAACAUACCUUUGAUGAAAUGAGACAGCAAUCUAACAACAAUUAAAGAAAAAAAAAAGCAAUUGAGGUGUUGAAGGCAAAUCUUUGAUGAUCUGAAUUGAUUCCCCUUCUAUUCUAGACUUGAUGUGAUAAAGAGCUUAUAAAAAAGAAGAUGUAUGAUUGCCAAUGAGACAACUCUCCACAAGAGACCAAAUCAACAGCUAUAGGUCUUGUGGACAAUGAGCAAAGCACAUACGACAUAGUCAUCUAUAAGAGGCCCAAAAUUACAAAUGUAAAACAAUUGAAAUGAGAAAACUAGCAGCAUAAUUAAUGUACAGAAAAAUGAACAAAAAACAAACAUGUAACAGCAUCAAUCUACAACCAUUAUAAUACCGGCUCCUGACUUUGGACAGGCACAUACACACAGAAUGUGGAGGGGGUUAAACAAGUUAGCAGGAUCCCAACC
rnacentral:lncRNA from 1 species